AAUACUUAGGAAUCUGCCCAUUAAUGGGGGACAACAGUUGGAAACGACUGCUAAUACCGCAUACGCCCUACGGGGGAAAGCAGGGGAUCUUCGGACCUUGCGUUAAUGGAUGAGCCUAAGUCGGAUUAGCUAGUUGGUGGGGUAAAGGCCUACCAAGGCGACGAUCUGUAGCGGGUCUGAGAGGAUGAUCCGCCACACCGGGACUGAGACACGGCCCAGACUCCUACGGGAGGCAGCAGUGGGGAAUAUUGGACAAUGGGGGGAACCCUGAUCCAGCCAUGCCGCGUGUGUGAAGAAGGCCUUUUGGUUGUAAAGCACUUUAAGCGAGGAGGAGGCUACUAGUAUUAAUACUACUGGAUAGUGGACGUUACUCGCAGAAUAAGCACCGGCUAACUCUGUGCCAGCAGCCGCGGUAAUACAGAGGGUGCGAGCGUUAAUCGGAUUUACUGGGCGUAAAGCGUGCGUAGGUGGCCAAUUAAGUCAAAUGUGAAAUCCCCGAGCUUAACUUGGGAAUUGCAUUCGAUACUGGUUGGCUAGAGUAUGGGAGAGGAUGGUAGAAUUCCAGGUGUAGCGGUGAAAUGCGUAGAGAUCUGGAGG
rnacentral:rRNA from 1 species